AGGACGAACGCUGGCGGCGUGCCUAACACAUGCAAGUCGAACGGGGAUUUGUUUCGGCAGAAUCCUAGUGGCGAACGGGUGAGUAACGCGUAGGCAACCUGCCCUCCGGCCGGGGGACAACACUCCGAAAGGGGUGCUAAUACCGGAUACGAAGUCUGUGCCGCAUGGUACGGAUUUGAAAGAUGGCCUCUAUUUAUAAGCUAUCGCCGGGGGAUGGGCCUGCGUCCGAUUAGCUGGUUGGUGGGGUAACGGCCUACCAAGGCGACGAUCGGUAGCCGGUCUGAGAGGAUGAACGGCCACAUUGGGACUGAGACACGGCCCAGACUCCUACGGGAGGCAGCAGUGGGGAAUCUUCCGCAAUGGGCGCAAGCCUGACGGAGCAACGCCGCGUGAGUGAGGAAGUUCUUCGGAACGUAAAGCUCUGUUGUUCCUGACGAACCUCCCCUCUAUCAACAACGGAGGGGACUGACGGUAGGGAACGAGGAAGCCACGGCUAACUACGUGCCAGCCGCCGC
rnacentral:rRNA from 1 species